UACGUAGGGUCCGAGCGUUGUCCGGAAUUAUUGGGCGUAAAGAGCUCGUAGGCGGUUUGUCGCGUCUGCUGUGAAAUCCCGAGGCUCAACCUCGGGCCUGCAGUGGGUACGGGCAGACUAGAGUGAUGUAGGGGAGACUGGAAUUCCUGGUGUAGCGGUGAAAUGCGUAGAUAUCUGGAGGAACACCGGUGGCGAAGGCGGCAUCCUGGACCAAUUCUGACGCUGAGGAGCGAAAGCCAGGGGAGCAAACGGG
rnacentral:rRNA from 1 species